rnacentral:rRNA from 1 species
AGUCACUGACAUUAGAUACCCGUGUAGUCCAGGGUGUAAACGCUGCAGACUUGGUGUUGGGGGCCCUUUGGGGGCAUUCAGUGCCGGAGAGAAGUUGUUAAGUCUGCUACUUGGGGAGUACGUCCGCAAGGAUGAAACUUAAAGGAAUUGGCGGGGAGCACCGCAACGGGAGGAGCGUGCGGUUUAAUUGGAUUCAACACCGUAAACUCACCAGGGAAGACUGUUACAUGAAAGCCGAGAUGAAGACUCUGCUAGAUUUUCAG